CACUGUGAAAUAUGAUUAAGUUAGUCUUUGUUGAUUAUUUUGCAGCUUGAAGCAAUGGGCUUCGAUCGUGCCCUAGUGUUGGAGGUGUUCUUUGCAUGUAACAAGGAUGAGGAGUUGGCGGCCAACUAUCUUUUAGAUCAUAUGCAUGAGUUCGAGGAUUGACAGAAGUGGCCUUCUCUGUCUUAUACCAAUUAUAUAUACUGUGGAAUCUUUGGAGCAAACUUGUCAAGAUGUUGAUGUCCGUAAUUUGUCCGUGGACGCCAUAGCAUUGUCUCAGUUCCUUCUCUGUUAACUGUUAAAUAUAUAUUUAUACAUAAUUCUGUGUUGGAAUUACCCCUCCGUUAUUUAGUUUAUAGUUUGUAACUAGUGUUUUCUCGGUUUUUAUGAACUUUAUUGUAUAAACACAUCCCUUUCUUUUUAUUCUUCUGCUAAAGAAACAACAUCAAGUGGGGGGUGUGUGAGGGAUAGGCCAAUGCAAAUUCUGAUUCAUAGGUGCUGUUGAAUGUAAUUUAGAGACUGAAAUUUUGAUAUUGGUGAUGAAGCAAAUUUCUGUGUCAA